rnacentral:lncRNA from 1 species
AGCGCGUAAAUAGGUUAGGGAAUAAAACAGGUGGCGUUAGUGCUACAAAGAAAACAGGAGUGAAAAGAUACAGAGAUUGAGAGAUAUAUGUAAGAAAAUUAAUCAAGAAACAACGGUGUGGAUAUUAGCAUUGAAUGUUGUUUCUUUGUUAUUACAGAGAAACAAUUCUACCUAUUAUCUACCCAUAACCUGCACAAUAAAUAAGACAUUAUAUAUAUAUAUA